rnacentral:misc_RNA from 1 species
UUGAAAUUGAAAUUUAAAGGCUGCAGGGAUUUCUAUUUAAGAGCCGGGUGAGCAAUUUCGUGCCUGGUAUUCCUUAUUUUUUUGAUAGCACAGGUGAUCCCUAAUAAAAAAAAGCUCGCUUCACUAACAAAGAUAGAAUGAGUAAGAAAGUCGCUUCAAGCUCAGUUAGUCGUGGAGUGAUUUCAGGAGGGUUGGGUUGACGCAAAACGGAUUCGAG